AUUGCGGGGGGUUUGGGGGUGAACCCUAAGCCCAACACCACCCACACUGAGCUUGUGUGUAGUUUCUAUGACAGGGGGCUUGGCUGUACUUGCACAUAAACACACACCUAUGAACAAACAAUAACCCCCCCACCCUACCCCACCUCUUUCUCACCCCUCUUUUCUUACAAUGGGAGCAGGGGGACAGGUGCUGCAGCCUCAUGGGUUUUUUAGCCCCUCAGACAUUGUCUUCUAUUCAUUAGUCCCUUAUGCACCACACAACGGCACACCCACCCACACAAACACACACACCCACACAUUGUGAUAAAAAAACUCAGGAUUGUUUUUCCGUCUCUGUCAGCGGUUAUGAUUUAUGAUCAUAAAUCUCUCAGAAGAGCCAUACGCUGAAACAUCUGUGUCUGCGGGAUCCUGGGAUGUCAGCAUCUGUGUGGCCCAGUUCUGCUUUUCUUGGAACAAUUUGACUCAGUGUGAGAGAUGGAUGCUGGUCAGAGGCAGUGUUAAUUUUGUAAUGUCUUAUAAAUUUAGAGUUUGUUUAGUUUUUAGUCUGUUUCUUUUCACUUUUUGUCACAUAUAAGUGAUUUUGGUCCGUUCUAGUCAAUAAAUCAUCAUUCGUUUAUCUUUAUCAUUCGUCAAAACAGUUUUUGUCUUUGUACUUAUUCAACAAAUCGAUAAGAAAUUAAUGUCAAUGUUGUUCUGGUGUAUGAACCUGCAAACUUUCCCAUUUGAACACUCAAACUUCUUUAAUACUUGGAUCCCUGACCUUCACUGAAGAAUUUCAUUAUCAAUGUGAUACUGAUAUGACGUCCCAACUGAUCUACUCAGACAUGUUUUUACUCCAAACCAAGAAACAAAACAUUAUUUGUGACCACUUUGGUUUUAUCUACUUUCUUUGGCUUUUUCCUUAUACGUAGUGGGGGAUGGGGGGUCUAUUGUCAUCCCUUAAUGUCUGUAAGUUCGAGAAACACCCCUGGACAUGUGCUUGACACUCAGUUCACAGUGCUUUCAGCGGCAUUCUCAUGCUUGAUUUAGAGUUGAAUUUGCUGUUCGAUGAAUCUUGGAUUGAGAAAAAUCCUUAUCUUGCUUUGAAAAACAUAACAAAACAAAACAAAAAAACAUAUUAGUAAUAGUUUCUUGUUAUCAGUGAAGCAUUUGAGCUUGUUAUUCUCUCUUUUUUGUAAUGGAAAAAGGGUGAUUGACUAACAAUUAGGUGUUAGUUUUUGUUUACCAAAUUAGCAGCGGGUGGAAGACAAUUGAAUCAAAUCAAAUAUUGAAUUUACCCCCAGGGAUGAAAAAAAAAAGUUACUCUAAUCUUAGUUUAAAGCAUUUGGAUUUUAUAUCUUAAAUUUGAGCAAGAAACACAACACUUACACAUAAUAGGUAUUGUUUUUGUAACUGAGGAUACAAGAGUUUGAACAACCAUUAUAUUAUAUUAAUAUACAAAUAUGAACAUUUUCCCACCCUUAAAGACCCGCUUGAUGUCCUUGUGGUCGAAGCUGUAGUGAAAUGUACCACUCACUGUGAAUCUUGGCUUCAAUAAAAUGUUAGCAAAGCUUGUUUCAGCAGUGUGCUAUGACUCAGUUGAUGCAUAAGCCCUUUGUAAGCCAGUAGAAGUCAUUGGUUUUGUUUCAGUUUGUUAAAACUCCUCACUGGAGCUUUAAACAAGCACUUUGGUAGCUUAGGGCAAAUUUCUUUAUGGUCGCAUGAAUUCUCCGGUGUUGAAUCAUUGUAAAAGUUAUUCAAGAAGUUAAGAGCAAAUUCUUUUAAUAUGAUCAUAAUCUUUUCCUAUCAUAGGGGAUUUAAUCAGCUUCAAUAAGUUAAGGAAAUGUGUUUCACAUGGAGUGAGGAGUUUGUCAGGACACUGCCAUUGUAAUGUCUUCAUUAUUGAUGUAUUUUACAUGUCAGGCCUGUCCUGUAACAAAGCAGUAGUGAGUGACACAUCACCAGCCCUCCAGUAGAUACCACUGAGUGUGAUCCAAUUGUCCAUGGUGGGAUCAGUGGAUCAUCCGGGACCCCCCUGCUAUGCAGCCCUUCCUCCCCCCUCCCCCAAAACAGCAAGGGGCCGCUAGUGCAACAGGGGGGCCAAUGAUCAAUAAGGAUUUUGUGUGUUUGAUUGUCUGUGUGUGUUUGUGUGUCUGCUGCGGUCGUUAGGUGUCUGUUUCCCAGUCUGUGUGUGUGUGUGUGUUUAAGUGUUGUGAGGAGGGGGCUGCAGGAAGGGUAGAGGUGUCUUUUAGUUCAGCAUACGGUUGUGACUGAUAGGGUGGCGGACCCCAGCGUGUGGGGGCCCAGGGGAGUAGCUCUGUAUUGGCGGACUCUGAGGAGAAGCUUUCUGUUCCCCCAUCGAUCCCAACAUGUCAAUUAGACAGAUUCAAAUAAAUGUGCCCUCAACCUCUGCAGGCCAGCCGUAUGCAGAUACUCCCAUGUAAGUGACACCCACUCACUGGCUCCCAUGUCACCGGAGCUAGGCUGAUACUGAAGGGCUUUCUGGGCUAGAAUUGACCGAGAGCUUUUCCGUCGCACAGAUUGUUUUUCACUUUGACCCCGGCCUUUGCACAUAAGGAGUCAGACACUUCAUGUGAACCUGUAGACAUCACAGAGGUAAAGUACCUUAAAUGACUCUCGAUUUCCUUUCAGUAUCUCCAAAAACCAACCGCAGUUUACUGAAAUGAAAGCAAAGUGCCCCAAGCUUGUUAUUGUUCGUAGAAAUAAUAAAAAAAAUAUUUACCAUAAAAAAGGAAGUUUGAUGACCUUUAAAAAUAAAUGUACUGGAAGGUUUCUGCUGCAAAACUAUUUAAAGGUUACCAGAUGGAACAUGUAUUAUCUAUCCAAUUUAACAUAAUAUUAUCAUCACAUUGUGAUACAGAAAGUAUAAUUAAUUCUCAACAGCAUCAGUGACAUCAGGGACAACCUGAGCACAAAUAUCAGAUCAAAUCAAUCUAAGGAGAAGAGUCUUGUGUAUUCAACCUCUGUCUCUGCCAAGCUAACAAAAACACUAGUUUCUAUGAAUUUGGUAAAAACUGUGAGAGUUUCAGUUUGUGACAGUUACCCAGCACAUGUGUGAGAGCAGCCUGGUAAGCUGUAUGGGGCCUCAACCAUGUAUAGGGGUGAAGUGGAGCAACAUCCUGUCCUGCUAUCUAGUCAGUGCAUCUGUAUGUUGGUGAUGGAUACAAAGCAACUUGAACAAUGGGGGUGGGGGAUGGAGGUGGGGGGAUGAUAAUAGCAACAGUGCGGAAAGUUGUGACAUUUGGACCAUUUACGGUCAGAGGACUGAGAAGAAGAGAGCUGAGCAAGGACAGAAACGUCAAGAUAAGUAUUCUUGCAGCAGUCCUGCUCACCUUGUUGAAUGUUACCUCAAGUGUUGUACAAUGCUUUUUUGUCUGGGCCUCGUCUCAGUCUGUCAGAGGAAAAUCUAAUACCAGACACAUUACACGUUUUCAGUUUAAUUAAUUGUUAAUUUGUUAAGGAUUUGUCAUGAGAAAGAUAUAAUUACCAUGUCUGCAAAGUUGCUGGUGAACCUAACAUAUAGACUGCCAAUAGACAGGAGCAGCUGUGCUGGGCACAUAAGCUAACAAGAUCCAACUAUAGCCAACGUUAACGUUAUAUAUUUUUAUAUAAACCUUAUAAAACCUGUAACUGAACUGUUGGCAUUCAAGGGCAUCACUAUAUGUAUUCCAGUUAGUUAGCUGUGAUCUGUAACGUCCCAGAAGUGUACCUGGUUUCCUGGCUACUGCUAUUGUCUAAAAAAAUAUUCAUAAGUCAGGGUGGCCAGACGUCCCUGAUUUCUGGGUACAGUCCCCAUAUUGGAUGACCUGUCCCUGAAUAAACAUGUUGUGUGCAGUCCUGAACAACAGUUUUUACAGGGGUUAUUACGGGUGGCAUGUGUUGCUACUAAUGAGUACUGAGAAGCAACUGAGUAAAGAAACAAUUUAGGAAAGAAGGAUACACAGAAAGAGAAAAUUGUCUAACAAAGGAGUCCACUACAUUCUAAGGAGACUAGAGGAACCUGGAAGUUAUGAUGAUAGAAAAAGACCUGGACAAAAGAGAGUUACUACAAAAGCAGAGGAUAAACAUAGCAUUGUCACCAGUAAGAGAGAUCGACGACAGACAGCACCACAAAUAAGGGAGGAAAUCAACAUGACAAGGUCGAAACUCAUAUCUCUGACAAUGGUGAAAAGACAUUUAAGAAAGGCUGGUCUGAGGGGUUGUGUAUUUGCAAAAAAGAAACAGUACUUUGUCCACAGAACAAGAAAAAUAGAUAUGAGUGGGCAAAAGCUCACAAAAAUUGGACUUAUGAUGACUAGAAACAAGUUUGCACUGUUUGGUUCAAAACGCAGAGUCAAUGUCCGCAGACAAACUGGUGAACGUCUGAAAGCACCAUGUGUUACACCCACAAUUCAGCAUGGAGGUGGUAGUUCCAUGGUAUGGGGAUGUUUUGCAGGUGAUGGAGUAGGAGAUUUGUUUGAAGUAAAGGGUAUCAUGAAGAAGGAACAGUACCACUCCAUCCUCCAGCACCAUGCUGUUCCAUCUGGACUCAGACUUGUGGCCCAUAAGUUUGUUUUGCAGCAAGACAACGACCCUAAGCAGUCUGCCAAGCUCUGUCAGGGUUACCUAGACAAAAAAAGAAGAGGAAGGUGUUCUUCAAAAGAUGGUUUGGCCCCCUCAGUCUCCAGACCUUUCUCCAAUAGAGCUUGUACGGGAUGAAUUGGAUCAAUCAGUCAGAAAGGCGCAUCCCACGUAUCAGCAAUAUCUUUUUAAUUAACUUAAGAAAGCUUGGAAUGCAAUCCCUGGAACAUACCUUAAAAACAUGUGGAACGAAUGCCUGGUAUAUGCCAAGCUGUUGUUAAAGCCAGAGGAGGUUACUUUAAAGAAAGCAAAGUCUAAGCAAUAAUAACUCAAAUACCUAAUAAUUAUAGUCAAAAUGUCUUCUGAUAAGUUACUCUUUACACAAUAGUCAUGUUUCUUGUGUUGCAAAUUAUAUUAAUGAAACUAUGAUCUUUUUCUGUACAAAUCUGAUCUUGCUUCCAAACUUUUGGCCUGUAGUGUAUAUGUACUGAGUGAUUAACUUCAUGCUGCUGAUACACCCAUACAGGACAAACUCAGACAAGACCACUGUAACCACAAGGAGUACCGUAGUCAACACAACUAAAAAGGUCCUUGAAUACGGACUGAAACUCUUAGGGGUGUCUCCUGAGCAGACACCCCCUGCGAGAGGACGCCCUUCCCUCCCUGCACCCUCCAUACUGAUCAGUAGGAUUUACUAUGCACUCGUCCACAGUUCUCAGCCGGUCACACACGCCCUCUGGGUCGAUCCAGGUCGAAUUCAAUUUGUAAGAUAUUAUGUAUUGAUCCCUGUGCUCCACCUCCCCCCACACCCCCACCUCUUUGCAGCCCUGGCAGGCACUCAUUGACCCACAUGCACAAUUCCUUGGAUCAUCCUCAUCAUCUCAGAAGUGUGGCAGUCUGAGCUAGUAUUAGGGUUGGUGGCCUUAGGCCCCUGUUGGUGACCCUCCAUUUCAUCUGCUGCCUGAGAUCACAAAAUCUAAGACUGUGAAUCAGUAGUGUUGAUAAAGCUUUGUUGAAAGAAAAUACAAUCCACAGUCCGGUUUAUCGGCUUUCUAGAUGCUACAAGGGCUCUUUUAUGAAAAUCUGGCAUCGAAAAAUAUUAAAUCAGACCAAUUGAGUUUCCUUGGCCUUCAGUUAGAUGUUUUAGAAAAUCUUCGAUAGAAGCUUCAUUUAGGUGGUUGUACUUCUUUAUAUCACUACUCUUAUGUUUUUUCAUAAAGAAUUGAUAACCAGACCCCCCCAAUUGCUUGCUCCUCCAACAUCAGCCAUUUAGCUUAGCCAACAGCCUCUAAAUCUCCCAAAUCAAUAGUUGUUCCCCAGUCUCUCCAUCAAACCCACAAGUAAAUAAUUCAAAUGAGAUACUUAAGCCCCUUGGAAUAUAAAUUAUGGAGGGAAAAAUCCUUAUUGUGGUUUUGGUGUGCAAUUUACAGGCUUAUAUUCUCUGUUGUGAACUGAGGGGGAACAGGAUGGGCACAUCUAUAAAUCUGUGGGUUAAAUCAAUGACAGCUGUGACUGGAUAAAUUGAGAUCUGAGAGGCCUUUAUGACUUUCUUAUCAGAUUUAUAUCAAAUAUUCAAGAAGCUGUAGAUCAUUUUUCUAUUUCAAAAUUUAACAUGUUUUUAAAACAAAAUGAAGACCCAGUGUCUUGGCUUAGGCCAGUGGCGAAACACACAAAUGUCAGCGAUGCAGAGCCUCAGACCUAGAUUCCACCCAACUCAUUUUGGUGCACCACAAAUGACUGACACAUUAACUGACAAGCGGAGGUCCUGCAUGUCUGCCACAGAUAAGAGAAAUAAGGUCACAUGCUAACAGGGGAGAAAGCGCUAUGCCAAGGUGAGCAAUGGCCAUGACAUUUCACAAAGUAGGCUAAUUCCCCAGAAAAUAUAGAAAGGGCACGUUGCACAUUAUUGCGUCACAUUGGUAAUCAUCAGCAAAGCACAAGUCAUGCACUUUCUCUUCACUGUGCAUACUUUGUCAAAGAGACAUAAGCCAUCACAAAGGGCACAUACAAUUAAUUACACACUUUAUUAUGUGUAUUCUAAUAAAAAGUAAAUGUCAGAAAAAUCACUACUCUGUACAAGCAAAGAGGAAGAGAACAGAUAUAGAAUUUUCCUUUUUUCAUGCACUGUAAUCUCGUGAUAUUAAUUUAUAAUCUUGUUAUCGCGACAUAAAAAAUUUGUUUUCUCAUGAUAACAACUCAUAGUCUUGUUAUCACAACAUAACAAAGAUAGUUUUCUCUUGAUAACUACUCAAUCUUGUUAUCGCAACAUAACAAAGAUCAUUUUCUCAUAAUGACUCAAUCAUGUUAUCACGACAUAAAGAUAAUUUUAUCAUGAUAACAACUCAAUCUUGUUAUCGCGACAAAACAAAGAUAAUUUUCUAAUGAUAACGAUUUAAUUAAUAAUGUGUCUGCCGUUGUUAUUAUAGUUGUCCAAUUCGCACAUGGCAGUUAAAUGUUCCCACCUUGAAAGUUUGAUGUGCAUGCACAAAGUGGAGCAUGACGUCAGCGCUGUCAUUGAAAACCCUAGCUUGCUGUUGACAAUGAUGGCUGGCUGCAGGCUUUAAGAAAUAUCCUACUCUGGGGGAUGUUUUUUAACAGUUACCAUUAUAGGUGAUGCCCUUUUCGUUAUCACGAAAAAACGAUCUUUGUUAUGUUGAGAAAAUGAAAAAACAAAAAUUCAUUUUUACGAGAAAACCAACUUUAUUAUAUCGAGAUGAUGAGAUAAGUGGUUAUCAGAUACCAGUGCAUCAAAAAAGAAACAUCCAUGGCCGUUCUUGUCUUCCGUACAAACAAUCUUCGAAACAAAUCUUCCUUUGAAAUGUUCAUCUUUGCCAGAAGCUCCACGGAAAUCCAUGGUCUUGAGAACUUGAGGGACUGUGUGCAGGCUGAAGGUAGUACCAAUGCAUCCAUUUGAGCAAAGAAGAGAGGAAAGAAAAUGAAGGCAGGAUGUCAUCUCAAGAGUCCCUGUGGGCUGAGCAAAGAACAGCACUGUGGAGUUUCCUCACCGGCAUGUGGGAUUCCCUCUGUUUACCCCUUCACUUCCUGUCCCAGCAAGGAAGCCUGAAACACUCUCCGUCUCCCCUGGCAGGAAACACGAGCCAGCUUUGCUUUGUGAGUCACACCAUGACCUUCAGCCAAACCAGAGUCACGUGAGCCCAGGGGAGAGUUUAAAUGCUAAAAGAAAACAAAUGUGCAUGCUGACAACGAAUUUUUAUGUCUCACUCAGUGUGAUGUUUUUUUCUUUUUCUUUUUUCUCAUGUGAAGCCUCUUUGAAAGCAACAACAAAUUGUAUCAUUCCAGGGGAGUUUCACCUCGCAUGUGUAUGUAAAAUGACUGAGGCCUGCAAAAAACACAAGACGGAAAUGUUGGGUCUCAAAGAGUUUGUCUUACUUUGAAGUUUGGGGAUGUUAAUAGUUGAAAGAGCCUUCAUUCAUUGUAUUAUAGCCCACAACAUCAUAGUGCAUUAUAAAAUGUUUUUUUUAUUUCUUUCUUUUUGUUUUUGUCAAAUAAAUAGAUAAGAAGGUUGAACCAUCCUCUUGACACAUUAUACAAAUGAAAGUCACCCAAACACUGUUAUCAGCUUGGUAACAGCCUUUAAUGUGGUAGAGACUAUCUGUAAGAUGUUAGUCAUAAACAUAAUAUCAUCACCCCUUUCGACAAAGCCAAGGAGUUGCAUAUAAGCGUGAUGAUAACAAACAACAGGGGAGUGAAGUGCUGUUCAAAGCCACAUAUACCACAAUCAACCAUUUUUGACCAAUGUAUUUAUGUAUUUACUUGCCUGUUGUGUACUGUUAUCAUGGGAGCAAUCAGUAUAAAAAGCAAUGUCUGAAGUGAUAACGGAGAGGGAAAAAUGGUAUUGGUACAUCAAGAAGCUGAAUCUAGCAGCUGGUUAGCUUGGCUUCCCACAGAUGCUUGAACAGGUGGUAACGGCCUAGCUCAAACUGAGCACAGUGAUGGAAUAAGUAAUCAGAUCCUAUAAUUAGAUAAAAGUACAAAUAAAACACUCUUAUAAUACUCAAUUACGAGUUAUUAAAGAACUUAUUCUGACGGUAUUAUUGAGGUAUUACUUGGGCAGCUUUUGCUCAGUUUUGUCCUUAUAUCACAGGGGUUGAUUCAAACUCCUUGUGUCCUUGUGCACAGAGAAGCCUGAAUUGCUCCUGGUGACAAAACCAGCUGUUUGAAAGUGUGUGAUAUUGAUAGGAACUUAAUAUAACAUCCUCUGCCAUCAGUGUAUGAAUGUGAGGUGAAUGUGUGUGUAUGACAUGUAAAAACAGAGAAAGUUUUAUGUUGAAUCAUUUACCAUUAACUUUGCACUGUUAAAUUGUUUAUAACCCUGAAGGACACCCAUUUUUAUGUUUCACUGCAUGUAGAAUUAAACACUUUGGCAGAUUGAUCUUAAAGUAAAAGCUCCUGUGAGGAACUCUGUGUUUGUGUUGACUUUAGCGCCCCCUCUGGACAAAAUGGUAACACUUUUCUUCUUGUUGUCUCCUUGUAAAAGUGGUGUUUAUUUGUGAAAAAAAAAACUUCUCCUGUUGUAUUUUUACAGCGUCCCUUAUCUCUCACUGUGACUGUUUGCCAUGGGAAAGGUAACUUAGUCUAUUUAUUCAGCAUACCUCCCCCUCACAGCAGUAACAGGCAUUUAAAAUUACAACAUAGAAAUUGUAAAUCUUGUCAUCAAUGACCUUAUUUGCUUUUGCGCAUCAUGGACACAUCACUGUUUGUUACGACCUGUUUCAAAAACUCCUCACUGGAGCUUUAACUAGUGUAGUUUACUCUUUUCAACUGGGUUUUUCAGACCCAUGGUUGUACUGUUUUUACAGAUCCAUAAUGUGACACUGAUGCAGUGGUGACACAAACACUGUGUCAAAACACCCCAGACUAAGUUUUGGCUAAUAAUUGGCCUAUAAGGUCAGUGAAACACAGAUCGACCCCUAAUAUUUGCUUAAUUUCAGUCUGCGAAUUUCCUCGAUAAAAUACGAGGAUGAUGCUCAAAGUUUAUCUGACGUCUGUUAUUGGUACUUUCAUUUAUUUAAAGCAGAAACAGAUUCAGCUUUUUAAAAGAUUCCCAAACUGACUGUGAUAUUUUCUAAAUAAAAGACGCUAAGUUAGAAAUUCAAAUCAACAUGAUUUAGCUGCCGUGCCCACUCUCACAUCAUCUUCUUUAUUUCUAUCCAUGUUUGUUUCACAGAAGCUCCUCGGGGGCACAAAAUGUAUUACAACAAUGGCAAAGUGGCAAACCUAAAAUGAGUCAUCCAUCAUUGCAAUUUUCAUGAAGCAAUUAGAAAUUUGGAGUUCCAUACAGAAAGUUUAAUAAAACCACGCUGACAAAUAUAUUAAGUGAGAGCAGUGACUCACUUCUAAUGGUUUGCUACAGGCAGCUCACAGACGUCCUUUUGAAAACCAAAUCAGAAACUCCACAAAGUUUCCAAUAUCAGCGUAAUGAAGACAAUCAAGCUUGUGGAGAGAAAUACAUAUGAUUCAAAACUAAUUUCUACUUAAUCACUUUUAGUACAAUAAAACCUAUGGAGUGGUCAUAAGUCAUAAUUCUUGUAAUGCUAACUUUCUUCUGGGGUUACAUAGUUGCCCCACUCGAUCGUAAGUUUAGCAAGAAAGAAAAAUUGAGCUUUAUGUUAUAAACUAAAUUAAACACAUCAAUGAUAAAAACCUAUCCAGAAGUAGCCUGGGGAUUUCAGGAUUCAUGGGUCAUCAUGGGUUCAUCCUUUCAUACUUUCUUAGUGAAAACCUGACAAGUCAAAGAAUCAUAUUUGUAUCAAAUGUUGAAGCAACCCACGGAAUAGUCCAUUGAUUGUUUUAGCCUGGGUUAAACUAUCCGGAUGAUCAACAGACUGCUUCGAUCAUCCCAUGCAGUGAGCACAAUUCUUAAGAUCCGUUCUGUGUCGUUUCUAAUGCCAAGUUUUUCUAUUCAAACUUUCCCUGCUUUUCAUUUCCUCUGUUAAACCAGUGGACUACAGUAUGUCAGAAUAUAUAAGCUCUGACUGAGUGAUGACUGGCUGUUGUUUUUGUUUCGAAGUUGACUGUCUUGGAAGUGUGCUUCCUUCCUGCCCUCCAGAUCUCAGGCAGCUCUGUCUAAGUUUGGUGUCAUGGGCCAACAGUCAGAGACAGGGCCGGCGGUGAGCCUGGACUACAUCAAACACACACCAGACGCUGCAGCCGGAAGACAGGCAGGAACUGUGAAGCUGCGCUCAGCUCUGUCACUGUCUAUCAUCAAAAAAAAGGAAAAAAACAAAAAACAAAAAGCUGACCUAGAAGGAGCGGUGCUGCGUAGAUGGGGGUGUCAAACAGGUGGGGAGGGAUGUAAGCCAAAAAGCAGACUGUUUUCUGUCAGUGUGUUCUUCUGCUCAACCCUGUCUGAA